rnacentral:sRNA from 1 species
UGUUUAGUUAUUAUUAUUAUUAUUUUUAUUUUUUUUUUGUAUUUGUGUAAAAAUGCAUUUUAGGUGCGGCACCACAGUGCGGAGCACCAUGACUGGCUAUAAGCCGCACCUGAUUGACUUUUAAAAAUCUAUCUAGCAAUUUCACUAGAGUAUUAAUUAAGGGCUGUCCUCUGUGGUUCGCUAAGCAAACUGUGAAUGUUCGGACACACAUGCAAAUCGAAGGUUAAGUCUUUUGACCCGCUGCACCUUUGGAGCCCGCCAUCGGCUUUAUUUGAGUUGUCGAUAUGCGACAUGGCUGUGUUUUAUUUAUGAAUUGCGCCUCGCACAAGCUGGCACCAUAUGAAUUAAUUGGUAUCGGACGACUAUUCAAUGCCUAGAGUUUUUCUAAACAAAUCGUUAAUAAAUAUAGUAGCUGGUGGCUGGUGGCUGGUGGCUAGUGGCCAAAACAAAAAACUUAUGCCCGCAUACAGAUCAAAAAGUGGUUUGGGUGCUUAAUAUUAAUCGGCUUUAAUUGACACGCGGCGCCAUCAUAGCAUAUGUCUGGGUCUGGCUUUUCGAGGUGUUAGCAAACACGUUUUCAAAUGCCGCAAAAACAAAAAAAAAAAAGAUUACUUGUCGUUACUUACGGCCAAGUGCCGGAGCGUCGGCGACGCGUGGUGCUCG